rnacentral:rRNA from 1 species
UAAGGAAUAUUGGACAAUGGAGGCAACUCUGAUCCAGCCAUGCCGCGUGAAGGAAUAAGGCCCUAUGGGUUGUAAACUUCUUUUAGACGGGACAAAACCCCUUUACGUGUAAAGGGUUGAUGGUACUGUCAGAAUAAGCAUCGGCUAACUUCGUGCUAGCAGCCGCGGUAAUACGAAGGAUGCAAGCGUUAUCCGGAAUUAUUGGGUUUAAAGGGUGCGUAGGCGGACUAAUAAGUCAGUGGUGAAAGCCUGCAGCUUAACUGCAGAAUUGCCAUUGAUACUGUUAGUUUUGAGUACAGUUGAGGUAGGCGGAAUGUGUCAUGUAGCGGUGAAAUGCUUAGAUAUGACACAGAACACCUAUUGCGAAGGCAGCUUGCUAAGCUGUAACUGACGCUGAGGCACGAAAGCGUGGGGAGCAAACA